UACGUAGGGGGCAAGCGUUGUCCGGAUUCAUUGGGCGUAAAGGGUGCGUAGGCGGCGCGGUAAGUCGGGUGUGAAAUCUCGGAGCUUAACUCCGAAACUGCAUUCGAUACUGCCGUGCUUGAGGACUGGAGAGGAGACUGGAAUUUACGGUGUAGCGGUGAAAUGCGCAGAUAUCGGGAAGAACACCCGUGGCGAAGGCGGCUCUCUGGGACGGUACUGACGCUGAGACGCGAAAGCGUGGGGAGCGAACAGG
rnacentral:rRNA from 1 species